AGAGUUUGAUCAUGGCUCAGAACGAACGCUGGCGGCGCGCCUAACACAUGCAAGUCGAACGAGAAUCCGGGGCAACCCGGUAGUAAAGUGGCAAACGGGUGAGGAAUACAUGGGUAACCUACCCUUGAGAAGGGAAUAACCCGCCGAAAGGUGAGCUAAUACCCUAUACGCUACCCCUUUUUCGAAAAGGGUAGGAAAGCCAAGUCGAGGACUUGGUACUCAAGGAGGGGCUCAUGUCCUAUCAGCUUGUUGGUGGGGUAACGGCCUACCAAGGCAACGACGGGUAGCUGGUCUGAGAGGAUGAUCAGCCACACUGGCACUGAGAUACGGGCCAGACUCCUACGGGAGGCAGCAGUGAGGAAUAUUGCGCAAUGGGCGAAAGCCUGACGCAGCGACGCCGCGUGGGGGAUGAAGGUUUUCGGAUUGUAAACCCCUUUCGUGAGGAAAGAUAAAGUGGGUAACCACUUAGACGGUACCUCAAGAAGAAGCCACGGCUAACUUCGUGCCAGCAGCCGCGGUAAUACGAAGGUGGCAAGCGUUGUUCGGAUUUACUGGGCGUAAAGAGCACGUAGGCGGUUGGGAAAGCCUCUUGGGAAAUCUCCCGGCUUAACCGGGAAAGGUCGAGAGGAACUAUUCAGCUAGAGGACGGGAGAGGAGCGCGGAAUUCCCGGUGUAGCGGUGAAAUGCGUAGAUAUCGGGAAGAAGGCCGGUGGCGAAGGC
rnacentral:rRNA from 1 species